CCGGGGACCGGCCUCCGCCGCGGGCUCUGCCCGCUCGCCUGCUCGCCUGGUGGGGGAGAGGGGAGCGGGGCCGACACAGGGUUCCUGACCAAGCUGGUGCUUCUGCGUGUGUUCCUGCAUGACUUGGUGUGUCCCCUUCUCUUGGAUCUACUGCAGUUGACAGCAGAUAACUGAAAGCUCGGAAAGCGAAACCGUGGAUAAGCAGGGGAACUGUGGCAUCCCAUUUAAAAUUGCUUCUGAAGAGAAGCAUGAGGUUACAUCUGUAAUCUCCCUGCAGCAGAGUCAACUGCAUAAGAAACCAAAAGACACACCUGCUCCAUGCCAGCUUCGAUAAUUUCUUUGUACCUUCGGCGAAAGAAGCCCAUCUGAAAGGCAGAAAGAAAGAGAAGCUGAGUUAGAAGUGCUGAAGAAUCAGCCAUUGUGACCCCAAGGCAGUCUGUCCCUGGGUAGGUGUGACCUGCACUCACAGGGCUGGGGAGGCUUGGAGGACCCCUCGGAUUAGAGAAAACACUGGCAAGAAAAACAUCCUGUGGAGACAUUUUUCAAAAUGCAUGGACUUCCUGCGGGUGAUAUUACGUAAGCUGUUUGUUCCUUCUAAAAUGCAUCUGGUGUAGUGUUUUCCAGACUGUGUGCUGGGGAAUACCAGUUACUGAGAGCUGUUCAAAGGUGUUUGGGAGUAAAAAAAGGUUUCAUGGCUGGGCGCAGUGGCUCACGCCUGUAAUCCCAGCACUUUGGGAGGCUGAGACAGGCAGAUCACUUGAGGUCAGGAGUUUGAGAGCAGCCUGGCCAACAUGGUGAAACCCUGUCUCUACUAAAAAUACAAAAAUUAGCUGGGCAUGGUGGUGUGUGCCUGUAAUCCCAGCUACUUGGGAGGCUGGGGCACGAGAAUCGCUUGAACCUGGGAGGCGGAGGUUGCAGUGAGCCGAGAUCGUGCCACCACUGCACUCCAGCCUGGGCGACAGAGUGAGACUCCAUCUCA
rnacentral:lncRNA from 1 species